rnacentral:lncRNA from 1 species
GGCUGCUGGUCGUUGCUACCUGUGGUGAAGGCAUGCAUCGGGAUGGUGAAAUAACAGGUUUCCACUCUGGGAUUGUCUUCUAGGGCCAACUUUCACCAAUGGAAGUAAAAUUUGUUUUUCCAGCACUCUGGCUUGCUACCUGACCUCAGCCACUGUCUCAUCUUGUGACUUGCCAAUAUUCC